GGAGAGGUGAGAGUGAUUUCGUAUCGGACGACGCGCGCACGUUCCGUUUUCGCACGCGAGAAAGUUUCGUUCGAGUUUUGGCGGUUAUUUCAAAAACGAAAUAGAACAGCGAAAAUAUCAAUAGCCUUUAUCGAUACAAUUAUUUAAGAUUAACUUAACCUUUUAUAUUCGAAUUUUUUGUUCGGUGUUCGGUGGCUGUGUCUGUUUUAGUGUUGUGACUUUCACCGUUUACGAUAAAAAGGAUGAUGUUUGCACCUAAUAUAAAGCUAUGGCUCUGUCUGGGGUGCGUGGCUGUAUCGAUGGUGUCACCGGCGCCCACCGAGCCCCUCUACCUGGACAUCAUAGACAUGGCCGCCAUCAGCAGGAUGUCGCCGCAACAACUCGAAGCGCUCGCCGAAGGUCUUGCCGCCGAAGAGAUAAUGAGGACAAAGAGAUCGUCAGCCCAAGCGCUGACGUCAGUCGUGUCUAAAGCGUCAUCGGGUCUACAGAGUAAAGUUGGCUUGCUGGGCCAAGCCUCGGCCUUCAUAUCGUCCGCUUCGAGUAAGACCGGAGGUGACCACGGAGGAUACUCUCAUGAACCCCCCCAGCAAGGUGAAAAAUACGAUUUCUUGGGCCUGAAGAAGUCAAUUCUUUACACUCUUUUCCAAGCCGUCAAAGCCAUUACCGGUGGAGUGACGAUUUUGAAAGGACAGCUUAUUAAGGGCGGUGGUGCCUUGGCUUCCACGCUGGGCAAGGUCAUUGCCGUAAAGGGUGAUGCUGUAAGCAACCUCGGAAAGAAAAUAGUCAGCUCGGCAGCGCUGAGUGAGAAGAAGCCUGUUUCGACACCAGUAUACGGUCCACCACCAACCUCACACCUCGAGUACGGCCCGCCACCAUCCGCAUACGGAGCACCCACGGCUCCAGCGCACUACUCCCACACCGCACCAGCCCUGCCCACAGGAUACGCGGCCCACAAAUACCCAGCCCACUUGGACGAAAUUAUUGUCAUGUCCUCGGUAGACGAUGAUGAUGACGAUGCUAGUCAAUUUCCGUGGCCUUCGGAUGAUCUAGCUAUGCGAUAUUACGAGUUAAUUGACCUAAUUUGAAGUACCAGCCCAACCCAUCGUGGUAGGCGGCGAGGAGUUGCAGCACUACUACCAUUUUUAAGUUUAAAUUAUUUAUUGUUCUAAUGUCGCGUUUGGACGUCGAAAGAAUUACGUUCAGUAUUUGUAUAAUUGAAAUAUUUUAUUACAAAUAAAAUUUUUUUUUACUUGGUAAUUGCAAUGAACAGAUCGGCCAAUAACUUAAUGAGUAAUAAGAUAUUAAUAUAAUACAAUAUAAUAAUACAAGUUUCGUAGAUACGUAAACCGCUGCAAUUUUUAUUAUUAAUGAAGGUUCCACCGUAAAACGUUAAUUGUGAUUUAACACAAAAGGCAAAAUAUGUACAUAUAUUUUUUUUUUAUUCUUAUAUUUUCGUGGUUUGUACUCCAAACGCGAUCUUUAAUUAUUAAGUAUUCAUAAUAUUUCUUUUCUUAAAAACGGAACACUAUAAACCAAACAAAAAAUAAAUUAUAGGUUGGACUCGAUGCUCAACUAUAAAAUAUGCUGAUAUUAACAAAAAUAUUGAAAAAAUGUCUGAUGUGUGCAUACGGUAAAUAUUCAUUUAAAAAACUUUAUAAUAAUACCAGCUCUUUGAGAUAUUCUUAAGCGGUAGAUAGAGGAGACAUCUAUGCCAAUGGAAUCACUGGUGUUCACAUCGAUGAUUUACCAACAGGAGUACACUCCUCUGAAGCAAUCAUGGUUGACGCGAGCAGAGAGCACAGAAGCGUUUGGAUUAAGAUGGAAAUGUUUCUUUAUACUCAAACACGUUGUGAACUCAGUCUUGGUUAUUAUCGAUUUUAUAGAUUGUCAACUUUGACAAAAAGUAAAAAAAAAAGUGUAGUAGGUAUCCGUAAAAAUGCUUUUAUGCCGGAGGUACACAUGUUAACUUUAUUUGUAAAGUCUGGUCCUUAGCUGCAGCGAUUUUGUUUAAAAAGGCUCUUAAAUGACAUACUAAUAGAGUUUCAUCAUUUUCGCCAGUAUUGCUAAUUGAGUUACUUUUACGGUUCAAUAUCGCAUUUAUUAUUUUCUUUUCCGGUUUAGUAGUCAGCGAUGACCACGACAACCGUAAAGUAUCCCAAAAAUCGGAAAUAAUAAAUGAUAAUAAACGCGACAUUAAACUGUAAAAUUAGUUUUAAUUCUAAUAUGAAAUAUGUAUUUUAAAGUUUCAAUUCACAUUGGUCAGUUAAAAAAAACAUAGACCUUUUUCCACACUGUACGAAUUUACAAAUAACUUUUUAACAAGCUGUAUCCGUUUAAUGUAAAUAAAUCAACGAUUUUUUUUCAAAUGUCUUAAUUAAUUUAAAUUAUUUAAAAUCUUAAUUGAAAUAUGAAGUACUUUGUAAUUAGAGUAAUAUUGUAAAUAAUGCUCGGCCUGUAUUUAAAUCUCUUCUAUGUUUGGUUUUUCUAUUUUUGUAAAUAAAUUAUGAGAGAAU